GAAAUGGGCGGCGGACUACACAUGCAGUCGAGCGGGAGUUUUUCGGAAGCUAGCGGCGGACGGGUGAGUAAUGCGUAGGAGGCUGCCCGAUAGAGGGGGAGACCAGUUUGGAAACGACUGUUAAUACCGCAUAAUGUCUACGGACCAAAGUGUGGGACCUUCGGGCCACAUGCUAUCGGAUGCGCCUACGUGGGAUUAGCUAGUUGGUGAGGUAAUGGCUCACCAAGGCGACGAUCUCUAGCUGGUUUGAGAGGAUGAUCAGCCACACUGGAACUGAGACACGGUCCAGACUCCUACGGGAGGCAGCAGUGGGGAAUAUUGGACAAUGGGCGCAAGCCUGAUCCAGCCAUGCCGCGUGUGUGAAGAAGGCCUUCGGGUUGUAAAGCACUUUCAGCGAGGAGGAAGGGAUGUAUGUUAAUAGCAUGCAUUUUUGACGUUACUCGCAGAAGAAGCACCGGCUAACUCUGUGCCAGCAGCCGCGGUAAUACAGAGGGUGCAAGCGUUAAUCGGAAUUACUGGGCGUAAAGCGCACGUAGGCGGUUAGUUAAGUUGGAUGUGAAAGCCCCGGGCUCAACCCUGGGAAUUGCAUUCAAAACUGGCUAACUAGAGUAUGUGAGAGGGGGGGUAGAAUUCCAAGUGUAGCGGUGAAAUGCGUAGAGAUUUGGGAGGAAUACCAGUGGCGAAAGGCGGCCCCCUGGCACAAUACUGACGCUGAGUGCGAAAGCGUGGGGAGCAAACAGGAUUAGAUACGCUGGUAGUCCACGCCGUAAACGAUGUCUACUAGCUGUUUCGUGGUCUUGUACUGUGAGUAGCGCAGCUAACGCACUAAGUAGACCGCCUGGGGGAGUACCGUCGCAGAUUUAAGAACUCAAAUGGAAUUGACGGGGGCCCGCACAAGCGUGGGAGCCAUGGUGGUUUAAUUCGACGCACGCGCAGAAUCUUACCUUACUCUUGACAGUCUACGAGACUGCAAGAAUGCGUGGUGACAUCCGGACGGUAAGACGCCUGCAUGACUGUCGUCAGCUCAGGAUAGGCAAAUGUUCGGCAUUAAGUUCCCG
rnacentral:rRNA from 1 species